rnacentral:tRNA from 1 species
GCGUCGGUGCCCGAGCGGCCUAAGGGAGCGGUCUGCAAAACCGCGUAUCGCGGGUUCAAAUCCCGCCCGGCGCUCAA